AUGUCUUCAAUUGUGGAAACUCGUCUAGAACCAAACUCACUUCUCAUGUAUGAUAGCCGCGCCAAGACAGCCUUCUUGAAAGCACUUGGAUUUCCAAUUCCUUGAAUUUGAACAUCAUCACUUGCUGGCCUUCUCACACCAACAUUCUCAAUUCUCAAAGAGUAGACACCAAACAGAGACUGCAAAUACCCUUGCUCAAUUAUGACGUCUGCAACUGAAGGUAAUAAAACAUGCUUCUCUUU
rnacentral:misc_RNA from 1 species